rnacentral:sRNA from 1 species
AGCAUCGGGCGAUCUGCUCGAAGUCGUAUUGGGGAUUGGCCCUUCCCUCGACGUGAGCGGCAAAACUACGUGUUUGCCUCGCCCGCGCAUAGGAUAUCGCCUGCCUCAGCGUAUCCCUGCGCCGCAGGAAUACGAGCGCAACGUCAU